rnacentral:rRNA from 1 species
UACAUAUAGGGCAAGCAUUGUUCGGAAUUACUGGGCAUAAAGGAUGCGUAAGUGGUUUGUUAAGUCAGAGGUGAAAUCCCGCAGCCCAACCGUGGAACUGCCUUUGAUACUGGCGAACUUGAGUGCGUGAGGGGUAAGGGGAACGAGCAGUGUAGCGGUGAAAUGCGUAGAUAUUGCUCGGAAGGCCAGAGCCGAAAGGGCCCUACUGGUGCGCAACUAACACUAAGGCACGAAAGCGUGGGGAGCAAACAGG